CAAGGAAUAGUUUAAUAAAAAUAUAAAUUUUGGAGAUUUAAGUUAAAGGGUUACCUUUUUCCUUGA
rnacentral:tRNA from 1 species